CUUAAAUUGAAGAGUUUGAUCAUGGCUCAGAUUGAACGCUGGCGGCAGGCCUAACACAUGCAAGUCGAGCGGA
rnacentral:rRNA from 1 species